rnacentral:rRNA from 1 species
ACCUACGGGGCGCAGCAGUCGGGAAUAUUGCGCAAUGGAGGAAACUCUGACGCAGUGACGCCGCGUAUAGGAAGAAGGUUUUCGGAUUGUAAACUAUUGUCGUGAGGGAAGAAGAUGACAGUACCUCAGGAGGAAGCUCCGGCUAACUAUGUGCCAGCAGCCGCGGUAAUACGUAGGGGGCAAGCGUUAUCCGGAUUUACUGGGUGUAAAGGGAGCGUAGACGGUAUGGCAAGUCUGAUGUGAAAACCCGGGGCUCAACCCCGGGACUGCAUUGGAAACUGCCGAACUAGAGUGUCGGAGAGGCA